rnacentral:ncRNA from 2 species
AACUGAAUAAAAGCGCCUGGGCUUAGGGGAAACUCUAAGUUGACGAGGACAGGGUUAAUCGAGUUAUCGGCGGAUGCCCUGCGGCUUCCUGCGGCCGAUAGAGAACCGGGAAAACCAUGGGUGACCAUUGGCAUAGAGCGGUUUGAGCAGGGAUA